GGAUACUGGAGUGAUGGAGGUAGAUAUGUAUAGGGGGAAGGGGACAGGGAUACUGGAGUGAUGGAGGUAGAUAUGUAUAGGGGGAAGGAGACAGGGAUACUGGAGUGAUGGAGGUAGAUAUGUAUAGAGGGAAGGAGACAGGGAUACUGGAGUGAUAGAGGUCGAUAUGAGAGGUGAUCCAUUCUGCUUUAAUGUCUACUCCAGCAUUAUAUUUAGGAUUACUUUCCUGCACUGGGCCCAAUGCACUACUAAAUUAAUUCAUUAAAGUGCAUUAUGUUGGUGGGCUGUAGUAUGCAUAUACAGGUCUGCAGAGGUGGCAAGUAGCCUAGUGGUUAGAGUGUAGAGGAGGCAAGUAGCCUAGUGGUUAGAGUGUAGAGGAGGCAGCGUAGCCUAGUGGUUAGAGUGUAGAGGUGGCAUGUUGCCUAGUGGUUAGAGUGUAGAGGCGGCAUGUAGCCUAGUGGUUAGAGUGUAGAGGAGGCAGCGUAGCCUAGUGGUUAGAGUGUAGAGGUGGCAAGUAGCCUAGUGGUUAGAGUGUAGAGGAGGCAGCGUAGCCUAGUGGUUAGAGUGUAGAGGUGGCAAGUAGCCUAGUGGUUAGAGUGUAGAGGAGGCAGCGUAGCCUAGUGGUUAGAGUGUAGAGGUGGCAAGUAGCCUAGUGGUUAGAGUGUAGAGGAGGCAGCGUAGCCUAGUGGUUAGAGUGUAGAGGUGGCAUGUUGCCUAGUGGUUAGAGUGUAGAGGCGGCAUGUAGCCUAGUGGUUAGAGUGUAGAGGCGGCAGGGUAGCCUAGUGGUUAGAGUGUAGAGGUGGCAAGUAGCCUAGUGGUUAGAGUGUAGAGGUGGCAUGUUGCCUAGUGGUUAGAGUGUAGAGGUGGCAUGUUGCCUAGUGGUUAGAGUGUAGAGGUGGCAGGGUAGCCUAGUGGUUAGAGUGUAGAGGCGGCAGGGUAGCCUAGUGGUUGGAGUGUAGAGGUGGCAAGUAGCCUAGUGGUUAGAGUGUAGAGGUGGCAUGUUGCCUAGUGGUUAGAGUGUAGAGGCGGCAUGUAGCCUAGUGGUUAGAGUGUAGAGGCGGCAUGUAGCCUAGUGAUUAGAGUGUAGAGGUGGCAUGUUGCCUAGUGGUUAGAGUGUAGAGGAGGUAGGUAGCCCAGUGGUUAGAGUGUAGAGGCAGCAGGGUAGCCUAGUGGUUAGAGUGUAGAGGCGGCAUGUAGCCUAGUGGUUAGAGUGUAGAGGCGGCAUGUAGCCUAGUGGUUAGAGUGUAGAGGCGGCAAGUAGCCUAGUGGUUAGAGUGUAGAGGCGGCAGCGUAGCCUAGUGGUUAGAGUGUAGAGGCGGCAGCGUAGCCUAGUGGUUAGAGUGUAGAGGCGGCAGCGUAGCCUAGUGGUUAGAGUGUAGAGGCGGCAGCGUAGCCUAGUGGUUAGAGUGUAGAGGCGGCAGCGUAGCCUAGUGGUUAGAGUGUAGAGGCGGCAGCGUAGCCUAGUGGUUAGAGUGUAGAGUUGGCAGGUAGUCUAGUGGUUAGAGUGUAGAGGUGGCAGGUAGUCUAGUGGUUAGAGUGUAGAGGAGGCAGGUAGCCUAGUGGUUAGAGUGUAGAGGUGGCAAGUAGCCUAGUGGUUAGAGUGUAGAGGUGGCAUGUUGCCUAGUGGUUAGAGUGUAGAGGUGGCAAGUAGCCUAGUGGUUAGAGUGUAGAGGCGGCAAGUAGCCUAGUGGUUAGAGUGUAGAGGUGGCAAGUAUUCUAGUGGUUAGAGUGUAGAGGUGGCAAGUAGCCUAGUGGUUAGAGUG